ensembl:snRNA U2 U2 spliceosomal RNA
AUCACUUCUCGGCCAGUUUGGCUAAGAUCAAGUGUAGUAUCUGUUCUUGUCAGUUUAAUAUCUUAUAAUCUGGUUCUUUAUGCAUCAAUAUCAUAAAACUAUUCUCAUAACUUCU